rnacentral:rRNA from 1 species
GAUGAACGCUGGCGGCGUGCCUAAUACAUGCAAGUCGAGCGAACAGACGAGGAGCUUGCUCCUCUGACGUUAGCGGCGGACGGGUGAGUAACACGUGGAUAACCUACCUAUAAGACUGGGAUAACUUCGGGAAACCGGAGCUAAUACCGGAUAAUAUAUUGAACCGCAUGGUUCAAUGGUGAAAGACGGUUUUGCUGUCACUUAUAGAUGGAUCCGCGCCGCAUUAGCUAGUUGGUAAGGUAACGGCUUACCAAGGCAACGAUGCGUAGCCGACCGGAGAGGGUGAUCGGCCACCCUGGAAGUGAGACACGGUCCAGACUCCUACGGGAGGCAGCAGUAGGGAAUCUUCCGCAAUGGGCGAAAGCAUGACGGAGCAACGCCGCGUGAGUGAUGAAGGUCUUCGGAUCGUAAAACUCUGUUAUUAGGGAAGAACAAAUGUGUAAGUAACUAUGCACGUCUUGACGGUACCUAAUCAGAAAGCCACGGCUAACUACGUG